CACGGCCCAACUCUUCGUACCCGUCCAUUUUUUAUCCAACGGCUCGCGUCGCGCUCGCGUUGUAUAAAGGUGUGUCUUCUGACUGCCUCCAAAACCCUAGCUAGUACUUCUCAUCCUCUGUUCCCUGCCGGCGGCGGCUGCGCGCGUGCGAGAGCGAGCGAGCAAGCGAGAGGGAGACGGCGAAGAGGGCGAAGGCGUGAUGCAGUCGAGCUCGAGCCGGGCUUGGUUGAGGCCGCACCGGUGUGCGACAACGCGAGGACGGGACCUACCUUCCGCCCCCACGCCAUCUCUCCCCAAAUCUCGCGCAGCAGCAGCAGCUGAGGAGCUCUGAUCUGGCGCCGCUCCGCCGCUUGCUUCCAGCCUGGUGGAUCUGUGCGUAUGGGCCUGCAGCCGGCGAGUGCGGAGUUCCGGCGGGGAACUGGACGACCCCAGGUCGGGGCUGCCGAGGACCUCCGCUGCCUCUGUUUGGCCUCCCUGCAGUGAUGUGCGCGGAGUUGCGGCAGGGAGGCACAGCAUGCAGGCCCCGUGCGCGGCCGUGAUUCCAGCAGCGACUAGCGGUAGCCACAAUGACAUCGGCAAGAAUAUACUGUUCUUAUUUCGAUUGCAGCAUGCAAGUUUAAGGUAGAAACUUUGGGUAAUUUUAGGGCUAACACUUUGGCAAUCUAUAUACAAAUAUGUCAGUAGAGGACAUGUAAGUUCCAUUGUGGAGGAUUGUGGGCACUCUGUGAGCAGUAUGAUUGUCAAUUGCUCAAAUGCUUAUUCAUUCUCUAGUUAAAUGCGGUAGAAGUUUGCAUUGUUGGAAUAUUAAAAUGAACAAUGUACCGAAUUGAUUGACCGAAAUGAUGAAUUGAUUGUUGCCAUGCAAUGAUAUAUGAAUGAGUUGAAUUUAUUGAUUA